UCUGGGAAAUUUAAGUAGCCAAACAGAGGCAAAUGUUCUGGGCAAAUAGUGCAGGCAGAUAUCAGUUUUUCGUUUGGUUCUGGGCAAAUAGAAAGGCACUUUACACUAAAAGUGCUUAUCUUGAGUAAACUCUGGGAAAAGAAAGAAGACUUCAUGGAUGGCCCCUCUUUACACAUGGCUUAAAGGUGAUGGAUGGGAGUGAUCGACAAUGGAAAUGAGGGUAUCAAAUAAGCUCGACCUAGCAUGUAUUGCCCCUAGAGCCGCGAGUGUGCCUGCCUUUUCUCUGUUUUGAUACGUUAUAAAAUUAAAGACCUAAUGAAGUGGAGGCAGCGACAACGCAGAGAUAAAUAUGCACACAAGAAAAAAAACGGAAAAAAUCAACAACAACAGAACUUGUUUGACCAGUAACCGCCAGUUGUUUGGGGCAAGAAUCAUCAUAAUUUUUACUAUCAACUUGCAACAUUGGGACACAUGCGAACGUCCGUCGAUUCCUCCGAUUGCGUGUGCCCCGCUCCACCGCGCCCCCUCUCCGCCCACGCCCCCCUUGGCGAGAACGAGACAAAACAACAACAAAGCCCGGACAGCACACAAACAUAUAGAAAUGAUAUGAAAACAGGUCAUUGCCUUAAUGGAUCUCGACUCGCCUCCGCCACACUUCCAGAUACAGAUACAAAUGUAUCUGGGCGUACGCCUGUGUGGAUAUGGCUGUGGAUGCAAACGAAGACUGCGAAAGGAACGAAACGAAUCGAAACGAACCGAGAAACGCUGCCUGCAUACAAAACUAAAGAAGAAAAAAAACUGAAAACUAAAAACGGAGAAGGCACACACAGAUACUCGCACACCGGGAAAUCAACGAUAAAGAUUUAAGCAAAUAAUCAAAUGCAUAAACAAGAAAGGGGUUAAAGGUCCAUUUAUCAAAUAAUGCGUAGAUGUACAACGAUCCAAUAGCUAAAAAUUAUUUAUGUUAAUUGUUAGCCGAAACGAAUUCCUCCUAACAAGGCUAAUUACCCCAGUAUACCCUAUCGUUUAUGGCAACCGAUGCACUCCAUGGGCUUCUGCGACACUUGAGCAAAGAUUGAAGUGCGAUCGACCAGGAGGAGAAUAGAAAGGGACUGAAAAGAAGGGCUCCAUAUAUACCCCAAAUAUCGUACACAAUUCAGAUUUAUAGUAAAGGCUGUGGACAACAACUGGCGGGAUUCAGCGAGGAGCCAAGAGUAAAUUGGGUUAAAAGUACAAUUGUCAUUUAGCCUCUAAUUGGAGGCGUGUGCGGACCAGUCCGCUGAUUGGAUUUAAGUCCCCUAGCUCUGUCACUUGGCCACAGGCCACAAACAAAUCAAUUCCAAUCCACAAACUAACGUAUAUAUAACU
rnacentral:misc_RNA from 1 species